UACGGAGGGUGCAAGCGUUGUUCGGAUUUAUUGGGCGUAAAGCGCGUGUAGGCGGUUUCUUAAGUCUGAUGUGAAAGCCCUGGGCUCAACCCAGGAAGUGCAUUGGAUACUGGGAGACUUGAAUACGGGAGAGGGUAGUGGAAUUCCUAGUGUAGGAGUGAAAUCCGUAGAUAUUAGGAGGAACACCGGUGGCGAAGGCGGUUACCUGGACCGACAUUGACGCUGAGGCGCGAAAGCGUGGGGAGCAAACGGG
rnacentral:rRNA from 1 species